rnacentral:rRNA from 1 species
GACGAACGCUGGCGGCGUGCUUAACACAUGCAAGUCGAACGGAAAGGCCCUGCUUUUGUGGGGUGCUCGAGUGGCGAACGGGUGAGUAACACGUGAGUAACCUGCCCUUGACUUUGGGAUAACUUCAGGAAACUGGGGCUAAUACCGGAUAGGAGCUCCUGCUGCAUGGUGGGGGUUGGAAAGUUUCGGCGGUUGGGGAUGGACUCGCGGCUUAUCAGCUUGUUGGUGGGGUAGUGGCUUACCAAGGCUUUGACGGGUAGCCGGCCUGAGAGGGUGACCGGCCACAUUGGGACUGGGAUACGGCCCAGACUCCUACGGGCGGCAACAGUGGGGAAUAUUGCACAAUGGGCGGAAGCCUGAUGCAGCAACGCCGCGUGCGGGAUGACGGCCUUCGGGUUGUAAACCGCUUUCGCCUGUGACGAAGCGUGAGUGACGGUAAUGGGUAAAGAAGCACCGGCUAACUACGU